AGUUAAUAAUUUCGCCAGUCACGCCUGAAUGCUGCAGAAAAAUUAAAACGAAGAAGCGUACUCCCGUUAGCUCAAUGCGCUGACUCAAAAACUCAGCGAGCCAAGAAACCGCUAACCGCCGGCAGCAGAGAAAAACCGCUCGUCCAAAGCAGCUGCUAAUGAGUUUAUUAAGUUCAGUGACAAUUCAUUAACAUUUCAUAUAAAAUAUCUCCGGCAUCACUGUAACUGUCAUCAUCAAACGCCGCUCUUUUUCAUCGGAAGCUCAGAGCGUACCUAAGGAAAUAGCAAUAAUAUCCGCUUGUUUAAAAACUUAAAUAUGUGAUAUUAAAUAGUUGAACAAGUUUUCUAACUUAACUUUCAAUAAACCUAGUGUUUCCGGUAAUUUCCAAACAGAAAACGCGUGUGUAAAAUUAAGUAAUUAUAAUAGAAGCUGUUGAGCACAAAAUGGUGGUUUCACUGCUGCCGUUGACAAGCAAAUUCGCAAGUGAGUGUAAUUAAAAAGUGAUGCUACGACCAAUUGUGAUUUUUCCAAUAAGAAAAGCUGUAACAUGGACCAUGUAUUCUA